rnacentral:lncRNA from 1 species
GGAAGCAGGAAAUCCUUUUCCUCUCACGUUUACAUCCCAUUCAUUCUUCCUCCGGGCAAUUCAAGUCCAUUCACAGCCGCCACAGAUGCACGUGUGCACGCGCGCAGCUGCACCUUUAAAGAAACUCUCAAGUCCUGGCGGCCAGAAAACCAGCUUUCAGGCGGGGCGGUGGGGCUCCCCCUCCCCUUGCUUCGUCUCUGCAGAUCUUUGUGCUCUAGGGAGGGAUGGCCGCACAUUCUGACGAGGACGAGGGUGGUGCAUAACGCGGAGGUCAAUUUUGCACAGUCCAGGCAAAAGAGACCCCCCCCCCCCACCAACAUCCCUUCCUGUUCAGUUUCCCUCUCUGGCCCAGCGCGAAGGGCGAGGGGCGACAGAAGCCCGAGGGACAGAAAACCGAGGCUCCUCAGUGGCCGAGUUGGGAGAGAGUUUUCUCUGCAGAAGACAGCAAGAUGCCCCAGGGAAUGUUUGUGAAAAAGGAUGACUGGAUGGGAAGCAAGCUGAAGAAAAAGAAGGAAAGAAAGAGAGAAAUCAGUAAAUCACCACACAAGAGGUGGAGAAGAGGACUUAUAAAUAUUGUUUCUAUGACAUUUGAAAAUAAAUGUUUUACUCCAUGCUAAUAGUGAAUGU